rnacentral:lncRNA from 1 species
CAAGGAAGGAUAAAAUAUUAUAUGUAUGUCCAUCUUUUGAGGUCCCCAAAAAACUUGACUGUUCUAUACAUUAGAUGGGUGUGUUUGGCAUCUGUAUGUUUAUGUAUAUAAAGUAAGAAUAUAAAGCUUGAUUCUUUGAGAUGCUGGCAAAAAAAUCCUGGAAAAAGUAAUUAAAUACAUACUUGAGUGGCGUGUUUAAAGUAAAGCUGUAGACUUGCUUUUAAACAGUUUUGGCUAUAUUUUUCAGUACUCCAAGCCAAAUUAUUCAACACUUCGUGUGAUCCAGGUUUAUUGAGCAAAACUAUAUCACACACACACACAAACAUACGUAAUAUAUAUAUAUAUAAUUUUGUUCUGAAUUGUCCUUUUUUUUAUUUUUUUUCCUUAACGUUUUCAUUUAAACACCACUCUGAAAUGUGGACAAUUUAAUUCUACCAGAAAAACAUAGCUGUUAGUGGGAAGCCUUGUUCCCAUGGGAACUGUUGAUUUGUCAUCUGGCUGUAGCCAAAUUCGUCCUGGGCUUUGAAUAUCAGUAUAGUAUCAUUGAUCUGGACAUUGUAUUCAGCAGGGAAGCCAGUGAAUGGAGGGGGCAGGGUAGAGAACUGGUGUCAGAGCAGGGGGAUUGCACCCAUCCCAGGAAGGCACAUCCACCCAAUGGAAAGCACAAGAAGAAAGGGAGAAAUUUAGCAGCCAGAUGGACAAGAAAUCCCCUUGUACCAGGCCAACCCAGCCAAACAACCACUGCUAUCCAUGGUAGAUUCCUUCUGCCUUCUCCGGUUAGAUGGAAUAACAAUUUCAAAAUCUUCAAAGACUGAUAUCUAACUGGAGAAAAGAGGCUGACAAAUGGUGAGUGGAAGCUGGCGGAAGGGCUUGGACCACAGCUCAAUAGCAUUCAGUUUCCCCAGGAUAGUGCAC